rnacentral:lncRNA from 1 species
CAUCUGACACCUUCUCUUUUCUACUAAAGCAGCUAUGAUACUGCCUUUAUCAUAUACUAAAUUUCAGUAUGCAGCUGGUUAUAUAUUUGUAUUUUUAUUUAUAUCUUUUUAGAGAAGAAUAAAUGGAUGGUUCAUUCUGGGUCUCUGCAUAAUAACUCUAUGUUGCCUUUAAACGUCUUAGCCUGUUAUGAAAUUCUUGGUUCACAGCUUUUCCCCACUUAGUCUCUACAGAUGUUAAGACUCUGGUGUUAGCAUUGCAGAGAAGUCUGGGGCUGGGCUGAUUUUUGGUACUUUGUACCAAAAAUGUACAUAACCGUUUUUUAUGCCUGAAAUCUUCUAGGAUUUUUUUUUGUCUUUAUAUUUAUAGUUUAAAAUUGCUCUUAGAUUUUUUCUAGGUGUAGUUUUCUUUUCAUUGAUUGUUUUUUAUCUGUAUUGCCCUAAUCUUUUUUCAGCUUUAGAAAGUUAUUUUUCAGUAUCUUUGGCUGUUUUUGCUUAAUUUUGUCUCAUCUCUCAGAAGCACCAGUUUCCCACAUGUUGACUUUCUAGUCUCUUGCUUCCAUUUCUGUUACUUUGGUCCUCCUUGUUUUCAUUCUUUCUUAUCCUUUUAGUUUGCUUAUUGGGAGAGCUUCUUCAGUUUGUCUGUCAUACCUCCAAUUUCAUUUUCCACAUUGUCAGUUCAGCAUCUGUUCUCUACACUUGUGAAUUUUAAUGAUUGCAUUUUUAGUUUCCUUACAAUUAUUCUUUGAUUAACCUUCGUAGAGUGGGCAUUAGAGACAACCCUGAAUUCAGACCACUACUCUGACAGUUAGAGCUGCUUGAACUUGGGCAAGUUAUUUUACUUCUUGAACUCUCAACUGCCUAUUUUAUAAUAGAGAUGUAAUAACACUUACCUUUUCUACCAGUUUUUAGGAGUAGAGAGAUAAUGUAUAUCCUGUGCUUGGCAUACCGUAGGUGCUCAAUAAACAAUAGCUAUUAUUAAGACUUUGUUCCACUAUCUUUUUAUCUGUUCCUGUUGCCUUUUUAUUUCAGCCUAUUAUUUCCUUAAAAAUUUCUGCUACCAUCUCUAAAGGUAAUAUCUUCUUGUAUAGUGUUUAAGGUAACAAAACAUUACUAAAAUUUUCUCCCAUAUCCUGAAUUAUGUCAUUUAUGGAGAAAGAAUCUUCUCUGGGUCAUACAGAAACAGUUUUCUUUCUUUUCUCAGUGGUAUUUUUUCAUAGGAUCCAUGUGGGUUUGUGUACCCUUUACUUAUGCCUUGAACAAGGUAAAAUGUGUUCUGACUUGAUGUUCUGAAGCAGACAGUAUGAGCCGUGCCUUAGCUUGGUUGCUGUUCACUGCCUGAGCCAGUGCAGGAGGAGUGGCUGAUCGCCAUGCACGGCUCUCAGCCCAUGUCUGAGCUGCAGCAGCUCUCCACUGGUGCCUCGUGCUCUAGUGAAGCAGUGUCACCUUUGUCCCACAGUUCCUGGUCCUCUCUAACACUGAAUUGAUGUAUACAUAGAUGAAAAGAAAAACCAUGGCUCCUAGAAGCCACUACUCUUGAGAUCCUGCCUGUCACCUUUCUACCUGACGCUUGAGGGGAUUUUACCUUUCAAUUGCCACUCACCACUGCUGGUCUCUCCCCAUUGCCCCCUUCCUCUAGCCACAAUUUUUGAAGGUGUUUUUCUAAAAAUUCCUUUCUAUGUGGAAAGAUGACAAAUGUAGAAAAUGAAGAAAAUAAUAUUCUGGCAGCUCUGCACAUCAGCAUCUUUGAUGUAAUGAGUUCAUCAACUUUCUGACUGGUAUAGGCUUUUUAGAAAAACAGCUUUAUUGAGAUAUAAUUCACAUACUAUACGACUCACCCGUUUAAAGUGUAUAAUUCAAUCGUUUUUGAUGUUGGUAUAGGCUUUUAAAAGGUACAUUCCUACUCCUUUUCAGGUAUUAUCUCUUUUUCUAGGUAAAGCUGGGGUAGAUUUUUUUUUUAGAUUUGCUCCAUCUGCCUUAUAGUAAAUGCAGAUUCUGAUUAAAGCAUCUGUUGUGUAAGAAUUCAUGAGUCCCAGCUGCUAAUAGAUAGAUUAAUUAAUAAAUAGAGGAGAUGGAAGGUCUCUUGCUUGCCAUGGAAGGCUGACUGGUAAAUAUGGAAGAGAAUGCUGGAGUUGGAAAGUCAUCAUUUUUCAACUUUUAUGGUAAAGGUAGGCUCAGGCAAGAAUCACCAAUAGAAGCAAACUCUUGGGAAAAUUUUGAUGAGGAGCAGUAUGCUUGUGUGAUCUAAAAAGUGUCUCUUCACAGAUUGCUUAUUAGUUAGAAAGAGAAAAAUAAACCCCAGUUUAUUUUAGUGGAGAAAAAUGUAGAAAUCAGGGAGCAACUAGACCAGUGGCCAAAAUUAAUGGCACCAAUGAGGGAGAGACAGACAUUGUGUGCCUCCAAUGUGAUAUCCCAAGAAGGACAUCACAUCAUCUAUGCAGUGUUCUAGCUGAGUAUUCUCAUUCUGAGAGUCAUGAACGUAUUAUCACUCUAAUCACAAGGAGAUGUCAGAUAAACACAAAAAUGAGGAGAAUUCUAUUUAAGGGGGUGGGCACUGUGUUCUUCAAAAAUGCCCAUGUCACAGAGCACAAAGAAAGGGUAUAGAAAUGUCCAGAUAUAGGGAGGCUAAAGAGAUAUGACAACUAAAUGCAAUACCAGACCAUAGAUUGGAUUCUGUACUGAAAGGGACAAAAUGCUAUAAAGGACAUUAUUAGAUUAAUUUACAAACCUAGACUAUAGGUGAUAGAUUAUAUAAAAGUAUUAUGCUAAUAUAAAUUUAUGAAAUUAGCAACUCUUCUGUGGUAACGUAAAAGAAUAUUCCUAUUCUUAGGAAAUACAUACUGUAGGGAUAAAGGGCCAUGAUGUACGUUACCCUCAUGGUUCAGCAAAAAGUUGCCCAGAGACAGAGAGAGAGAGAGAGAGAGAAGACAAAUGAUAGAGGAAAUGGCAUAAAAUGUUAGUAGUUAAUAAUCUGGAUACAGGGGUACCUUGUGCUAUUUUUAUUUUUGCUACUUCUUGUAAGUUUAAAAUGAUUUCCAAAUAAAAGUUUUGUAUAUUAUUUUUAAGAAAUUUCCUUAUAAGCUUGUGGUAUUUAGAAGUAACCACUUUGGAGUAAGGCCUUAUUCUGGAAAGUGGUUGUUGAAAUGCUGGUGUUCUUUCACUUGCUCAUAUUCAGUGUCAUUUGGCAUGACUGAACUUGGAGCAGGAGCAAGGACCAGGAUUCUACAGGAUAUAGAACAGGUAUGUUUUGAUGAGAGGAGGAAUUAGGAGUGACUAGAACAUGGGAGUAGCCUUUACAAUGGGAAAGAGAUCGAUAUUAAGUGUGUGUGUGGAGGCAGGUGCUUUGGUCAGGAUGAGGGCAUGGGAAUUAGGAAUAAAAGGGAAGAAAGGUACAAAUUGAAGAUUAAUAUCUCAGGUUUCAUAGUUUUGCCUGGGCAGGUCUUAAUCCCCCUCCUCAAAAUGACUCCUUUUCUUCCAUUACUGAUACAUCAGUUCUGAGAGUUGAUUUAAUUCCUCUCUUAGGAUCUGCUGGUCACAAUGGCAACCUUACAUCUCUCUAAAUACAGCCUUCCUCAUUUUUCCUGAUCAUCUGAAGAGUGAACUUUUUGCUCUUUCUUAUGCUGUUUUCUCCAGCUGGUUAGCUUCUAAAAAGCAACUGCAUUUCUUACCUUCUCAAAAGCUUUUGGGAGGCUGUGGAUGUGUAGUAGGUAAUACUGAUGUAUAAAAGAGAAUAAAUGUACACAUUAAGAAUCAGCUUAUCCAUCAAUUAUUCAGUUUCAGUGUGAUGCUUACAUUGGAUGUGGAUUUAGAAGGCUAAUUCCUUCCUUUCUUCCUUUCAACAUUGAGCAUCUGCCACAUGGCACACUCUCUGCUAGGUGAUCAGAAAUGGGUAUAACCGAUUACAGCAAAACUGUUGGUGUUUUGUCCAUAUCCCCUUUGCACUCACCAUCCUUGUGUGUGUUGACAUUAUGGCUUCCCACCACAAGCACCUCAGCUUUUUUGCUGAAGUGUUUUUAGCCUCAGGACUGAAAUGCUGAGAGGUUAAUGCCUCCCCACCCCAGCAGCCCUCAAGCUAUGCCAGAUAGGGGUUGGUUGGUAUAUAAAUCUCCAAGGGGAGACAAAUCUGAGGCGUGUUUUACAUAGUGUCCCAAAGGUCCCCAGCAGCAUUGAGCCCAGUGGCCCAGAGUGGUGACCUGCUCAGUAAUGUACCCUUUAUUGACAUCCUUCUUUUCUCUCUCACUUCUCCACUCCUAGUGGUACUUCCUUGCUUCACCUCCCAAUAAACCACUUGCACUAAAAUCCUAAUCUCAGGAACUGCUUCUGGAGGAACCCAAACCAAAACAUCUAUGCGUAAUGGCACUUACUGUCGAAUAAGGGAAACAAAUCAUCACACGAUUGGUCCUAUAAUUAAACUCACAUUAGACAUCAUUGAACUUCUCUGUGUAACUGGAUAUAUUUCUUUUAAGUGCUGGGGAAGACAUUUUAUCUUGGAAAUGGCUCGUGUAUUGUUUAGAAGAUUUUUUUUUUUUAUAAAUCACUUAACACAUGCCAAAUAUAAGAAGUAAAAAAACCAUUUACAUGAACUAUAGGAAGGUAGUAUUAAGUAAAAGUGAAUUAAAAAAUAAAUAGUUUCUGCCUUCUUUGAUUUUUGAAUUCUAAAGAAGACAGAACAAAUACAGAUACAUACGAGGAGGUUUGAAUAUUUUGUGGAUUUGUUCCUAAUCACUGCUUUCUGUUUGCUGUGCUUUUAUGCUCAGAAAACACCUGAAAAUGGUAGUUGUUUAUACAAUCAGAUGCUUGACAAUAAUCCCAGGAAAAUUAUCCUUAUCUUUCUUUUAUAAUGAAUUCCAGGAACAAUCAGGUCAAUGGAGAAUCUUAGGUGCUGCUGAGAACUAUGAAUUUGGUGACAAUCAUUGAAAUUGUGCAGCAUUACAGCUUCUUUGAGGACAUACAAACAAAGCAGGAUGUAAAUAACCCUCUUUAUCUUUCUCAUUUCAGCUUUGUUUUUUCCUCCAUAUUAAUCAAAUCCAAUGUUACUGAAGACAAUAUGGCAUAGAAAACUAUCUCUGAUUUUUUCCCAGAGGCAAUGUAAAGUGGAAGAAGCAGUGGACUCAAAAGGUUCCUGCCAACUGCCUAGAUGACCUUAGACAAGUCAGUUCACAUUCUCUUGGUCUCAAUUUUCUUAUCUGCUAGAUGCUCAGUGAGGUUCACUAUGAGCUUAAAGUCAAUGUCUGUCUAGCCAUCAUAGUCACCCAAUGCAGAGCACAGCUCACCUGGCAGGGGCUGGAGAAUGGGGAAAAAAGAAUAGAAUGAAAGUCUUUGAAGAGAAUUGAAUGGUUACCUCUACCCAUCCUUCCAAGUCAAGGAGUAAUCCCACCUCUUCCAGAAGCUCAGGUUCCAGAGAACAGGGCAGGAAAGAGUAAGAUGGGACAUCAGGAAAGUGAAGGAUGCCUGACCAAUACUCAGGAUAGGGCAGGCCAGAGGUAGAACCAAAGUGGAAGCCAAGGCCCUGUGCAUGGAGCCAAAAAUGAGCAAUAGAGAAAGGAGUGAAGAGUUGUAACUGGGAUACCAACAAAGACACUUCAAAAUAAGAUCAACAGACUUGGUUAGAAAUGUCUCAGGGCAACUAGCAUAAUCACAGCAUGUGGAAAUGAAAGUCAUUUAAACAUCUGUUGAGAGCCUAUCAUGUGCUUGGGAGUUACUGGAAAUAAAAAAUGAAUCGCACAUAGCACUGCCUCCUAGGAGUUUAAAAUGUGGAGGGACAGGUAUGCACACCACUAACUAGGCUAUACUUUAAUUUGCAGAUAGCACUAAAACAGGAGUUUAAAUCAAGUGCUAUGGGCACUUAAAUCUGGUUCAAUUAAUUUGGUAGGAAGGACAAGGAAAGGCUUUAUAGUGAAAGUGAUAUUUAAACUGGGCCUUGAGAGAUGAGUAGGAUCAUCAGGUGGAGGAUUAGGGAAGAAUAGAGAGAAGAGCAUGUGAAGAGGGGUAAAGGAAUAAGGCGACAUGAUGUGCCUGGUAUCCAGUGAGAAGCUGAGUGUCACUGGAGCAUGAAGAGCACUGUAGACGUGGUAGGAAGUGAAGCCAGAAGAUAGGCUGCCCCUGGAUUGAGAGGGGCUUUGACACUCAUGCUAAGGAAUUUGGGCCACAAUCCAGUAAGAGGCUGGAUGUUGUCAUUAACACCAGGCACUCAAGCAGGUUUCUACACAGCCAGGCCCAGCCUCUGUUAGAAGUCUAGAGUGGGGGCCAGCCCCAUGGCUGAGUGGUUAAGUUUUGCCUUGCUCCGCUUUGGUGGCCCAGGGUUUCAUGAAUUUGGAUCCUGGGUGCGGACCUGGCACCACUCAUCAAGCCAUGCUGAGAUGAUGUCCCACAUAGCAGAGCCAGAAGGACCUACAACUAGAAUAUAUAACUAUGUACUGGGGGGCUUUGAGGAGAAAGAAAAAAAGACGAUUGGGAACAGAUGUUAGCUCAGGUGCCAAUCUUAAAAAAAGAAAGUCUAAAGUGGAGGAGAGGAUGAGGUGGGCAGAAUCGGGAAGGAAAGAGAGAAGUUAAAGCAAUCUUGCAAUUCCAACCUAGACUGAGUGGAAAGGGAUUUUAGUGAUUGAGAUAUAGACUACAGAAGGUUUGAAGGAAGAGAGAUGAUAAAUUUAAUUUUGGUAAAAUUGGGAACAUCCAUGAGAAGCUCAUCAUUAGGCUAUUGAUAAUGUGGUUCUGGAAUUUGGGAGAGAGCCAGGGUUGGAUUUAACUGCUUGGGAGAAAGCAGUGGGAAUAGAUGAGGUGCCUAGGGAGAGAAUGGUGAAUGGAAGGAGAAGAAAGUGAAGAUGUCUUAGGGGAAAACUACCUGAUGAGAAGUCAGUGAAGAUGCCAGGAAAGAUGAGAAAAGUAGGGUGAAAACAAGACAGGAUUGUAUCGUGAAACUGACAGGAAGUUAAGAUUUUACAAAAGAGUUGGGAAUUUUUAAAAGGCUCAGAGGAGGUCAAGAUUGACGAGAAAUAAAAAGAGGUAAUUGGAAUUGGAACUUAAGUGAACAUGAAAUGAGACAGUGGAGUCAGUGAGUAUAAGAAGAAUGAGAUCAUAGGAGAAUAGAGAAACAAGUUGAUAGCUUUAGGUGAAACUAGAGUCUAAGGAAUGUUUGAUGACUUUUUAUUCAGAUAUAAUUUCAAACUUGCAGAAAAGUUGCAAAAAUAGUACCAAUAGCUCCCAUAUAACCAGAUUCACCAUUCACCAUUUGUUAACAUUUUGCCUCAAUUGCUUUAUCAUCCUCUGUCUUACUUUUUUUGAAUGAUUUGAGUUGCAGACAUCGUGCCUCUUUUACCUCUAGAUAUUUCGGUGUAUAUUUCCUAAGAACAAGGACAUUAUUUUCCAUUCCAACAGUACAGUUAUCAGAUUAAGAAAUUUCACAUGGAUAUAAUACUAUUACCUAAUAUUCAUUCCAUAUUCAAAUUUCAGUAAUUGUCCCCAAAAUGUCCUUUAUAGCUAUUUUUCCCCAUUCUGGAUCCAAACCGUGAUUGUGAAUGUAUUUCAUUUAGUGUCAUGUCUCUGGUCUCCUUGAAUCUGGAACAGUUUCUAAGCCUUUCUUUGUCUGUCAUGACAUUGACAUUUUUUGAGGAGUACAGACUGGUUAUUUCAUAGAAUGUUCCUCAAUGUGGGUUUGUUGAUGCUUCCUCAAAAUUCGAUCAAGUUUACUAAUUUUUACAGGAAUAUCCCAGAAGAGAUGUUGUGUCCUUCUAAGGGCAUCAUAUCAGGAGGCGUAUGAUGUUAUUUUGUCCCCUUACUGGAGAUAUGAACUUAGAUCACUUGGUAAGGUGGUAUCUGCGAUGUUUCAUAAGUAGCUAUUUUCCUUCUAUAAUUAGUCGUUUGUGGAGAGAGACUGAGACUGUGUAAAUACCAUGCUCCUCAUUAGAUAAUCACCUAUGAAACCUACUAAAACAAUCGUUUUAUUAUCUAUUGAUGAUUUUUGCCUGGAUCAAUUACCAUGAUGGUUACAAAAUGUGAUGAUUGUUUUCUAAAAAAUUUGUUCCUUCUGUGUAUAUUGG